ensembl:ncRNA C05D2.16 ncRNA
ACCAGGUCUCGACAUGACUAAUUUUUGUUAAAUACAAUAAAGUGUGCGUCUUUAAAGAGUACUGUAAUUUCAAAUUUUUGUUGAAAAGCUAUGAAAAUCGAUGAAAAUUCCGUAGCAACAAAAGUUUGGAAUUACAGUAUU